rnacentral:lncRNA from 1 species
GGAUAAACAAACGGAUUUGUAUCAGCAGUGACAUUUACACAAGUAAUCCUAUUGUACAGCAUCAGCAUGUAAUCACAUUCAUGGCUUACUCAAAGGUUCAG